rnacentral:rRNA from 1 species
CAGCACCUCAAGUGGUCAGGAUGAUUAUUGGGCCUAAAGCAUCCGUAGCCGGCUCUGUAAGUUUUCGGUUAAAUCUGUACGCUCAACGUACAGGCUGCCGGGAAUACUGCAGCGCUAGGGAGUGGGAGAGGUAGACGGUACUCGGUAGGAAGGGGUAAAAUCCUUUGAUCUAUUGAUGACCACCUGUGGCGAAGGCGGUCUACCAGAACACGUCCGACGGUGAGGGAUGAAAGCUGGGUGAGCAAACCGGAUUAGAUACCCGAGUAGUCC